rnacentral:lncRNA from 1 species
CAGCAGGAUGCCCAGGAGUCAUUUAGCGCAGAGACCCAGGCCCAAGUCCUGCCUCUGCCUCAUCCACAGGCUCCCCGUGUGACCUGGUGACAUACAGAGCCACCCAGUCUUUACCAUCAUCACUGUUUGGCUGUCUGACCCACCUAAUGUACAUCACCUGUGUCCUUUUGUCAAACACCGGGACUGCUUCCGCUUGCGUCCUCACUCCAGACACUGCAGCUGCGGACAUCCCUGGAAAUGUGUCUUGAGAUUUCUGCAAGGGCCAGAUAUGCAAGGCAGCUCCCGAAUGCUGAAGGAGCAGAGAAACCAAAGAACAAGGCAGACAAAUCCAGUUUGCUGGUACAGGGUGAUUUAUUUGGGUGACCUUACAGACAAGCUUGGUCUUGGGCAGCCACGAGACAAACAGAUCUCCGUGCCUGUCAUCCUAGAGCCAAGGCUUAUGUACCAUAGGGAAAGGGUAUGAGUGUUCUGUGCAAGACAAUUAAAGGCAGCCCUCCAGAACAGGCAAGAAUCUGCAUACGUUAUAGCCUAUAAUUGGUGUGAUAACAUCAAGGUGGACAUAGUCUUAUGCUAAGGGCAGUAAAUAGAGUAGGAAUCAGGAGGUAUUCACGGGACUGCAGCUAUUCAGAAGUCAGCAUGGCGGAUUCACGUCUAAGAUGGGGUCAUUUUUGUCUCCACACCUUCAUUAUUUGUGAGGUUCAAGUAUUUUCCUAUCUCCAUGGACCAUUUGUGCUACCUCUGUGAAUUCCUGUCCAUGUCCUUUGCACAUUUCUCUUCUGCAUUAGUCCUGGGGAGCAGAUAGCUGAGUUUAUUGUAUUCCUUAUUUCACAGCAUACAAAAAGCAUCAAUGGAUGCAAUGCGACUCUUGUUUUGCCUUUGUAUUUUCUUCUUCAUCUUUGAUCCCCGCUCCAUCCUAUUUAAAUGUGAAUAGGCUGGGCGUGGUGACUCAUGCCUGUA